AAUAUUGGACAAUGGGGGCAACCCUGAUCCAGCCAUGCCCCGUGAGUGAAGAAGGUCUUCGGAUUGUAAAGCACUUUAAGUUGGGAGGAAGGGCUUUAGGUUAAUACCCUGAAGUUUUGACGUUACCAACAGAAUAAGCACCGGCUAACUCUGUGCCAGCAGCCGCGGUAAUCACGAGGGUGCAAUCGUUAAUGGGAAUUACUGGGCGUAACGCGGGGGUAGGUGGUUGGUUAAGUUGGAAGUGGAAUCACCGGGCUUAACCUGGGAACUGCUGUCAUAACUGCUGAGCUAGAGUACGGUAGAGGGUAGUGGAAUUUCCUGUGUAGCGGUGAAAUGCGUAGAUAUAGGAAGGAACACCAGUGGCGAAGGCGACCACCUGGGAUAAUACUGACACUGAGGUGCGAAAGCGUGGGGAGCAAAC
rnacentral:rRNA from 1 species